GACGAACCGUGCGAACGUUGUUCGGAUUCACUGGGCUUAAAGGGCGCGUAGGCGGCUUGCCAAGUCAGGGGUGAAAUCUUUCGGCUCAACCGGAAAAGUGCUUCUGAUACUGGCGGGCUGGAGGGAGGUAGGGGCAGAUGGAACUUCCGGUGGAGCGGUGAAAUGCGUAGAUAUCGAGAGGAACACCUGCGGCGAAGGCGGGUUGCUGGGCUGAUACUGACGCUGAGGCGCGAAAGCCAGGGGAGCGAACGGG
rnacentral:rRNA from 1 species